rnacentral:lncRNA from 1 species
GAUGAUUCCAUAGAUGAGAAGACAGAGGUCCAGUAAUGUUAAGAAAAUUGUUCAAGAGCAAGCGCCUAGAGGACAGAAGAUCGAGUAUUCAACCCUACAUCACAGCUCUGAAGGCAAACUCAGCUCUGUUGAUUGGAGAGGGAGGAAGAGAACAAAUGACUUCUGUCUACCAUAAGGAAAACAGGACAUCUCAGCUCAGUGACAAUGUUAAAACUACACUUCGUGGUGGGCCACACUAGACCAGGAGUUCCUUUAGGUCUCAGCUGGAAGACGAGGGCGAUUUAAAGAAUACUUAGGUGAAAGAAGUUGUUAAAAUAACUUGGGUUGAGUGAAUAAAAUAAGCAAGCUCCUUGGAAUUCAUAAGUGGGUCUGAAUCUCCCUUUGGGUUUUCAGCUGGGUGGCCUGUGGUGAAUUUCACAGCUACAGUUUCCACACCUGUGAAAAGAGUUUAUCAUACCUACCCUUCAUUGUUUUGGUCAGGAGAGAAAAAUGUACGUAGUGAAACUUAUCAGUCAGGCUCUCAACCUGUCACAAUGAGUUGCACACAGAAUAGGAAAAGUUGGGUUUUGAUUUAAAGAUGCUACACAUAGACAUGGAGAGGCAGAGAAAUCCAAAGGGACAAUUUACAUGAGUAAAAAUUACUGUCCCCUAAAUUUAGAGGAAAAGGAGACCUAGAGUCAUUUCCCUAUAUGGACCUGUGCCCUCUGGCAGAGGGAGUCAAGGAAAUAAAUGUUCUUCUGAUACUCGAAGGUGCUCCCCCUUCCCAGAGCAGUUGUUGGAGACUUCAUACCCCUUGCAACAGAGCUAAGAGGUGGCGCCUUCAACUGGGAUGGGAUUCAGCCUGAGGGUGCUGCCCUCUGUCGUGGAUUAGAGCACAUUACAGCAGGGCCAGGCUGGGAGUUCCAUGUCUUGCUUUCAGCAUCGUCUGCCCUUCUGCCUUGUGCCAUGGGAUGUGCAGUAAGUAGGAAGGACCUUGUCAGAUGAUGCCCCUUGCUCUCAGGCCUCCCAGCCUGCAGAGCUAUAAGAAAUAAAUUUCUUUUCUUUGUAAGUUACCCAGCCUGUGGUAUUCUGUGAUAGCAGCGGAAAAUGAACUAAAACAUAUUCUGACCUCACCCUUCUCUGUCUGGCCUCCAUCUGAACCCCAAGUCAGAGGACCUCAGGGCCAGGUUGCUUUAACCAUGCAGGUGGAUCUCCAGAGAAGGCUGGAAAAGGCAUCUAGAGAUGCCAAAGGACCUUCACCACCACCUCGGAAUAGUUCCUAAUACUUGACCAUUUACUAAGUAACAGACACAAAAGCUUGACUUGUG